rnacentral:rRNA from 1 species
CGGGUGGUAAUGCCGGAUGCUCCAGUUGAUCGCAUGGUCUUCUGGGAAAGCUUUCGCGGUAUGGGAUGGGGUCGCGUCCUAUCAGCUUGACGGCGGGGUAACGGCCCACCGUGGCUUCGACGGGUAGCCGGCCUGAGAGGGCGACCGGCCACAUUGGGACUGAGAUACGGCCCAGACUCCUACGGGAGGCAGCAGUGGGGAAUAUUGCACAAUGGGCGCAAGCCUGAUGCAGCGACGCCGCGUGAGGGAUGGAGGCCUUCGGGUUGUAAACCUCUUUUAUCGGGGAGCAAGCGAGAGUGAGUUUACCCGUUGAAUAAGCACCGGCUAACUACGUGCCAGCAGCCGCGGUAAUACGUAGGGUGCAAGCGUUAUCCGGAAUUAUUGGGCGUAAAGGGCUCGUAGGCGGUUCGUCGCGUCCGGUGUGAAAGUCCAUCGCUUAACGGUGGAUCCGCGCCGGGUACGGGCGGGCUUGAGUGCGGUAGGGGAGACUGGAAUUCCCGGUGUAACGGUGGAAUGUGUAGAU